rnacentral:lncRNA from 1 species
UCGUCGAAGAAGACAACCCAGCCACUGGGGAGCCGACCGCCGCCAUCCGCCGCUGCACCAGAACCCUUUCCGACCACCAAAAAAGGUAAAAAUUUCUCAUUUUGCACGAAAUUCAAUUUUAAUCCCACCCAUGACAAAAUUGGAGUGAAAGAACCGACUAAUUGGCCGAAAAAUACCGACGAUGCCCGGUGGCGCCGCUGCAGAAAAUUUCAAAAAUCGCCUCCGAUGAGACCCUUUCUAAUUCCUGUUUCGCAUAAUU